GAUGAAGAACGUAGCGAAAUGCGAUAAGUAAUGUGAAUUGCAGAAUUCAGUGAAUCAUCGAAUCUUUGAACGCACAUUGCGCCCGCCAGCACUCUGGCGGGCAUGCCUGUUCGAGCGUCAUUUCAACCAUCAAGCCCCCAGGGGCUUGUGUUGGGGCCCUGCGGCUGCCCGCAGGCCCUGAAAACCAGUGGCGGGCUCGCUAGUCACACCGAGCGCAGUAGCACAUCUCGCUCAGGGCGUGCGGCGGGCUCCUGCCGUGAAACCCCCCACUGUAACCCCAAAGGUUGACCUCGGAUCAGGUAGGAAUACCCGCUGAACUUAAGCAUAUCAAUAAGCGGAGGA
rnacentral:misc_RNA from 1 species